CCAAUUCUCUCUCUCUCUCUCUGUGUGUUUGUUCCGGUGAUAUUUCCUUUCUCUCGCUUUUCUUUUCCUUCCUUUUAGUUGGUGUUGUUUCUAGAGAUCAUGGGGUUUUUUUUUUUUUUAUUUCAUUUUAUUUGUGUGUGUUGAUAAAAAGAUCAUUGAGGGUUCGUUCGGUGUUUUCGAGCGAUUCUUCUUUUAUCGUAACCAAAACAAUGUUGCUUCCUUUGUUUUGGUCUCAUCAACCCCAGGUUUCUCUAUUUCUAUUUGGUGGAAAGUUCUCCCGGAAAUCUAGAAUGCAUUGGACGAUUUCCUCCCUUGUCCAAUAAAAGUAGUAGUACUCCAUUGCGCGAACCACAACUACAAAUCGUCGUAUUAGAAUCCUUGGUAUAUUACAUCUCGUUGCAAGAUGUUGUUGGUCAGGUAUUCUUUCAUCUAUUCACAGAAAAAAAGUUGUUCUUCAACAUUAUGUUCUUGACCAAGCAUGUAUUAUGUUGCUUAAAAAUAAUGGAACCUCUGAGGUUGUAGGAUAUCAAGGAAAUUCUUGCCAUGGUUUAUAUAAGAAGGGACUUCCUGAUGCUCCUCCCUGCGGAUUCGGUGCAUUUGCAGUGAAGGUCUUGCAGCAAAACUCUUAGUUACCGCAUGCCGGCCAGAUUUGUUGACCGUCUUUUGUGAGAUUGAUGAAAGGUGAACUCAAGGAAUUGCUGGUGGAGACUGAGGCAUGAAACUCUUUCCAACUCAUCAGGGUGUUUUUGCAAUGGAGGAUGAUGCGCAGAAGCAUCUUCUACUUGAGGCUGUUGAGAAUAUACGAGCAAUCGUUGGGAGCAACAUAAAUUCUUGGGGUUGUAUGAGUGCUUUUCCAAAUGCAGAGGCUUCUGUAACUCUAUGAUGAAUGUGAAUGCUUUGCGCCCAGAACCUGUUGCAGCCUCUAGUAACAUGAAUAUGUCACUGUUAAGAAACUUCUACAGGUAUCCCUUAUCCGGAAUACCACGUUGUUCAUAUACAUCAGCAGAAACUCAUAGGUCUGUCCCUCAUGGCAGAAGCUUCGCUGUGAAAGCUAGUAUCUCAUCCAGAAUUGAGUUGCACCUACCUAGCAUUCUAAACAUGAAAAUGCCGGAAGAGGGUAUGGGAUACUAGGCGAGAAGCCACUGUCUGGGAGUGCCUAUCAUAGAAUACAAGACCCUUUAAUAGGAUGGCCAAAUUCUUCUUCUAGUUAUCAAUCUCCACUUGAUAUGGAAGCACCUUUAAUUGGCUCUCCACUGCUGAAGCAUAUUUAUGUGAAUCAAGAUGAUAUUAAAAGUGUGCCUUCAGAACAUGCUGACAGCUCCAUCGAGUCAGCCUUGGUUAACCCUAGAAUAUGCACUUGAGAUGAUCAGGAAAAAACUGACUAUGAAAGAGGACAGCCAGCAUUGCUACUAAGAAGUCUUAACUGCUUGAAACUAUAAGUGAUUCUUGAAUUGUAUAUGAAAUACAACUGCAUGCUUCUUUUGCAAAGAAGACACGUGCCCACACAGUUGCACUUGUUCUUCUUGCACUGACGUUGUCACCUCUACGUCUUCUUUUUCUGUCCAGCUACCGUGACUGCUUCAGGAUCAUCUUGUGCAGAAGCCUGUCAAUGCUAAGACUGCCAUAAUACACGUGAUAAUGAAGAGACAGUGAUUGAUUCAAAAGAACUGUUACAAUCUCGCAUGCCACAUGCAUUUGCUCCAAAGGUUAUCCUGCCUGUCAUGGAUUUCUAAAGCAGUAGUGGGGUAAGGAUUCUUUGUUAUGUCAGUUGGAGAAUUUGCACCAUACUCCCAUGAGAAAAAAACUGAUUGUCCUCAUAUUCUGGAGGAUAUUAGGAAAAUGAUAACAACCUCUGGCAGGCAUAGAGUAGGAUGCAACUGCAGGAAGUCCAUGUGCAGCAAAAAAUACUGUGAAUGCUGUAAGGUUUUCUGUUUUAUCAGUUGCACGUUUGACUAACGUGCUUGAGUUGUUCUUUUUAACAUGUGCUGAUUUAGUAUGUUGGCUUAUCAUUGGCCUACGUUGGAUGUUCCUCUGUGUGCUUAUGUGAAGUCUGUAAGAAUAUUUUGGGCAUGAAAGGUGGUAAAAGACUUGUUCAAAUACUAUAUAUAUUUUU